UGCAUAACCUCACAUAUAAAGCAUGCUGAGGUGGCGUCAGGUCAUUUCAGGCUCUUCUGUGUCGAGCGGAGGAGUAGCUCUGUGUCAAGCUUAGGGGACUGGAAGAGGCCGCAACCUUCCGCCUGCUGGAGGGUGGAGGAUGGAUGGAGCCUGGAGCCUAGGUCACUACCUUGCUGUGGUUGGUGGUGGCGAUAGAGCAGUAGGAGAGCGGUCAGCAGCAGGAGGACUAGAAGGAAGAGGUACUGCCACAUGCUGGAGGCUGGAACCUGUGCCACCAUGGCUCGCCUCGCUGUGGUUGGUGGUAACGUCGGAGACUGCAGCUCAGCCACGGUGGUAGACAUGUGAUGGGGUAGCUUCCAAGUAAGGGAUCGUUUUCCUCUUCUCAGACUCCAGACUCUAGAAGGCGAUUUUCUCUGCUCGAGCUGGAUUGCACGCUGCUCCAAGCCAGGCUGAAGGAGGAGAAGGAGUUGCCGCCUGUGGUACGGUCGAGCAGAUGACGUGGCUCUGCAGCUUGCCUCAUGCAGUUGGUGUUGGAGAUGGAGACCACAGCUCGACUGGAGCGGUGGUUUCCUAGAAACAUGAUUGUUUAUUGGCGUUGAUCUCAGUCUGGUGAGGACUUCUUUACUGAUAAUGUCAAGUUCAGGUUACCCUCCCAACCAAGGAGCAUUCAGCACAGAACAAAGUCGUUAUCCUCCUCACUCUGUAAAGUAUACGUUUCCCAGCACCCGCCACCAGCAGGAUCCAACAUUUGGAGGCAAACAUGAAGCUCCAUCCUCUCCAAUUUCGAGGCAACCGUGUGGAGAUGAUCAAAAUGCUUCACCUUCAAAACUUUCAAAGGAAGAGUUAAUACAGAGUAUGGAUCGUAUAAAUCGAGAAAUUGCAAAAGUAGAACAGCAGAUCCUUAAACUGAAGAAGAAACAAGUAAAAGUCUUUGCUUAUAAUAUUCUAAGAAUGUGUGUUUUUCUCCCUACAGAAGAUAUUUUUGAGUUUUCCAUAUUAUGAAACUGUACAUAAAAGGAAUCAUGCCUUAUAUAUUCUGGCUUGCUGUUUUUUGCUGCUAUUGUGGUUUUCUUUCAUUCAUUCAUUUUCCUUGCUGCACUGUCUGAUCAUAUGAUUGUAGAGAGUGAAAUUUGUCCAUUCUAUUUUUGAUUUUUUUUUCUAUUCCAUACACUGGUGCUGGUUUUUGGUUCACAUGUAGAGAUUUUCUAGGGCAUGUGCCCAGGAAUGGCAGUGCUUGGCCCAAGAUUAUGCACAGUGAACUAUUUAAUAGAUGACACCAAAUUUGCUAAGAAGUAACACCAUUUUACAUUCCCACUGGCAACUUACGUGGGUACUGGUUUGUGCACAUUCUUGCCUUUACUUGAUAUCAUUUUUUCAUUUGGAUAUGAAAUAGUCUUCUCUGUGGUUUGGAAGGAGGCUGAGCUUAUUUUCAUUUGUUUAUGGGUUAUUUGGGUUCCUUAUGUGCAUUGUUCAUGUCUUUUGUCUAUAGUCUCCUAUUUUGUCAUUGAAAUUUUUAGGAUUCCCUGAAGUCCCUUGUCAGGUAUGUGUAUAGAAGAUUUGCCUAGUUUGUGGCCUGUCACUUCACUUUUAGCCCAGUAUCCACUCUAAGUGUACACUAAGUGCAUUUUUUUUUCCACAUUUCGAGUCUCACUCUGUCACCCAGGCUGGAGUGCAGUGGUGCGAUCUUGGCUC
rnacentral:lncRNA from 1 species